GCCCGGAUAGCUUAGAUGGUAAAGCGCCCGCCCCGUAAGCGGGAGGCCGUGGGUUCGACUCCCUCUCCGGGCUCCA
rnacentral:tRNA from 2 species